UCGGGUAUGGUGUACGGCGCACCUCUCCUUCAUGUAAUGGAACUCUCCUCAUACCGCUGGGGAAAGCCGGGGUUCGACUCCCCGUGCCCGAA